GCACGCUGCAGGAGAGAAAGAGGCUACUCAGAGACGGAGAGAAACACUCUGGAGGAUGAGAGACUAGGCAGGAAAGAGAAGCACUCCCAUCUCUCCCUGCCACGUUAGCAGAGGCGCCAGACACAUUAGUAAGGCCACCUCAGAUACUCCAGGCCCAGCUGAACUUCCCCCCCCCGGCCAACACUGCAGGGAGCGGAGGCAAGCUGUCCACACCAAACCCUGCCCAAACUGCAGAAUCGUGAGCACAUAAAAGAUUGCUGUUGUUUAAGCCACUCGGUUUGGGGUGGAUUGUCACCCAAUAGAUAACUGAAAGAAGUAGGGAGGGAUGAGGGAGGGAGGGUAUAAGUUCUGCAUCCAUGGUCUUUCCUUCUUUUCAUUCUUAAAAUCCUCAGUGUCCCUGCGAAACACCUGCAGCUUUAUAAUUCAGCUUUAUAAUCUUCCACCUAGAAGGCUCAGGUGUCUUGGUCUACUGUUUCUCCAGUGCCCACAUCAACAGCUCUGAAACCCAACUGCAUGUUGAUUACUGUUUCCUUGGGUCAACCUAGGGUUGGUUCCAAUUCUAUCUUUGUUUCGGCGGGGGCGGGGCGGGGAGGAGGAAUUUGUUUUUUCUAACAUCAUACCCCAGGGAGAAAUGUUAUUUCUUUGUAUUCCUCAUUUUCUAAUGCAGGGCUAACUGUAAAGUAUAGUUGUUCACUAAAUGCCAGACGAAUGACUAAUGAGGCUCACUUGGAGAGAAUCCUAAAUGGGGUUCAAUUCCUAACUUCCUGUUCUAACCAGAGGCCUUCAGUUUCUCCAUUUAUGCAAGAAGGUCUCACUGCACUCCUUCCGACUCAUGUACAGUAAUGAGUUAAGGGGCUUCAACGUUGUCAGAGAGCCAUUUGUCUGUGCCUCCAUGGAGAAAUGGCUGGGCCCAGGAGAAAGCAGGUGAUGUGACACAAGCGGGUGUGGGGACAAAGACCCAGAGAGGUCUAUGUUCCUCAGCAGGAGAGGGGACGUGUAUAUUUGCUGCAUGAGGGCGAGAGGGUGACUGACCCCAUGCUCCCUGUCUCAGUGGCCCUCCUCUGCCCUCACACGGGACUGCCGCCAAGAACUGCCAGUUGGGAGAGCCUGCCAUCACUCCCCUCCUCUGGAUUGCCUCUCCAGGGAGACUUGGGUACUCUCCAUGCAGUCCCUGUUGACUGCUCUUGGUGGCCUGCCCAGAGCCCAUUUCUCCACAGGUCUGAGGAGAUGGGCAUCUUCCCUAUAGCCCCAAACCCAGUUCUAGUGACAGUGGAAUCUAAGAAGGAACUCAGAACACACUCUAGUCUAACUUUCCCAUAUUCAAGAUAAGGAAACUAAGGCCCAGGUCAGGGAAGUGACUUGUCCAAACGCCCCAGCUGGUUCAUGGCAGAGGUGAGGCCAGCACCCACAUUUCUCAACUCCCAAAUUGGUGCCCUCUGUUGCUUACACCGCCUCCCGCAGGGCUCUCCCCUCUCUGACCUCCCUUUCCUUUUUACUAUUCCUUCUCUUCUCAGCCUCUCUCCAGCACAUGCCCCACGUAGGGACACUUCCAACGGGGGGGGGGGGGGUGGCUAGCAGGCAGCCCUAAUGGGCUAGUCCUAAUGGAUGUGGGACAUGCAGAAGGCAGAUGAGGUGUGUGCACUCCGAACAUGUCAAGCGGCGCCACUUAACACAGCUGCUCAGGCUUGGGCAUCGAUACACAUGCACACAUGGACAGUCACACGCCUCCUUUAGGGUCACUUAUGCUUUCCACCAGUCCCCCCAGUCAGAUGGACCUUGGCACAAAGUCAAGUCACAAGACUCCUCACCUGGCCUCAGCCCUUGGUGUCCCACAAACUAGCUAAACUGGUGGCACCUGGGUAAGGACAGCUGAAUGACCCGUUCUGGCCCUUGAUCCAGAGAUGGGAAAGAGAAGACAGGUUCAGCGCUGUCAUCGACGUGGCCCAUCUUUAUGUACUUAGAACUCCUGCCUCUGGGUCCCUAAAUGUCCCUCCCUGAGAGGAUAACGGGAGGGUGAGGACCCCACUUUCCUUCUUCUUUCUGCUCCCUUUGCUACCCCCCUCUUCCCGUCUUGAUAAGAAUCUUUGAAUGAAGCUCCUGCCAGGCCAUAGAUUCCAUCUGAGACACAGCUGGAUCUCUUAAAACACAAGGGGAGAUGUUUAUCUUUCCUCCCAGCUCUGUCCUGUCACCUCCUCCUGGGCAUUGCCAGCCAAGGGCACCGCCUGGUGAGACAAAUUAGGUAAGUCUGAGCUGGGCCCCUGGUACCUACUGCUAAGAGGGUAAGCAGUGCUGGGGGAGGGGCGGGCCACAGAGCCGAGGGGGAGGGGCGCGUAGGGCGGGAACUGAGCCGUCCCUUCAGAGUUCCUUCACCUCUUCCCUCCUCCUCUGCUCCCCACUCCACCCCACCCCCAGUCAUUCCAAUACCCCCCACCUCUGGAAAAGCCAGAUUGGGAUUCGAUCCCCAGCCAGUUGCCGGAGUUCCGGAGCAGCUGUCCCAGGCUUGGGAGGGGGAGGGGGCCAGGAAUGCUGGAGCUGAGGCCUGGGCCGCCCCAGACAGAGCAGGCUCUGAAUUCUGGGAAUGUUUGUGCAGCUGGAGCCCAUUAGGGGAGGGAGCCGCGCCGCUUAUUAAUCCCAGCCUUGUUCCCCGGGAGGGGCCAGGGCCCUGCACACGAGUGGAGGGGGACGGGGCUCUGCUGCAGGAGGCGGCCCCCAGCCCUCAGCCCCCUGCUUGGUUGAGACUCCAUCAGGAGCUUGGAGAUCUGGGGCCCUGUGCCUGGCUUGCAUGGUGCACAUGUGUGUGGGGAGGCGAGUGUGGAGGGGUGGGUGUGGGCACAGCUGUCUCAUCCUUCUCCCAUCCCCUGCCCGCCUGCCUGCCCCUCCACCCAUCAAGCACAAGCCAGCUCAGCUGUUAGUGGUGAAGCACAUGGUGGGGGUGGCAGAGGCCAAGGUCAGACUCUCCAGGAGUAGAGCUGGGCUCAGCCUGCCUUCUUCUAUUGAACCUAGGCCUGGCAACGUACUGGGAGAGAGAGACAGAGCGUGAGCAGAGGAGGGGCAGAGAGAGAAGGAGACACAGAAUCCGA